rnacentral:lncRNA from 1 species
AGAAAAAUGGAAGGUUUCGAAUGUCAGAAAGAAAUAGGGGAGAUAGAGAAUAGCAAGGAGAUCUGAAAAUAAAUUAAACGGAAAAAGCUUGCCGUCAGGGGCAAAACCGGAAACUAAUGAUUGGGCCAUUUUAAAUGGACUAGUUUAAUGUUGGGCUUUGUCCUAACCAUUAAAUAAAGUUAUUACAUGGUUUUUGGUUAAAAUUCAAAGUUUUCAAGCCCUUUUCAUUAGUUUUCCUUAUUUUAAUUGUUAGGAGAAAGUUUCCUAAGCCCCUAUUAGUAAUUAAUAUUCCCACGUUAAAACCCACCGAGGGAAAAAAUUUUGAAAGUCGAAUACAAAAUAAAAAGAGCAGAACAAUAAAAAAUAACAUUUGAGGAAUGUCAAUAAUAAUAACUCCAAAAAAUCAAAAUUUCACAAAUAUUAUUGGUAAAAAAAUCUAGCAAAAUACAAGAAAACAACUAUAUUCUAGGCCCCAAUUAAAAGAAUUACCACGCGUAUUUAGGCAAAAUCUAGUAAUCUCAAGAGUAGAGUAAAAUACAAAGAUCUCCAAAUCAACUUUUUGAAUGAAGUGUCAAUAUAAUUAACGAAUUUUUAGUAAGUUAGUAUAGAAUAAGAAUAUUCUACUAAUUUCAUUUACUUCUCUUUCUUCAAGCUUACUCCUCUAUUGUGUUAUAAAUAGGACUCCAAAAGCCACAAAACACAACCUCUCUCAAACCUAAACGCACCCGAUAUCGCAUAAUGGCCUACCGCAACCAGCCUGAAACUGCCUUUAGUGGCUACCUCGAGGUCUACGAGCCUGAAACUGCUCGUGCUGGCUACGCCAUGGUGACGCCCUCGACCAACAGCGCACCGAAGAACGUGUUUCCUAAUGGCUACACUAUGGCGGCGCCUUUGACCGACAGCACACAGAUGAACGCCCAUGGUGGCUGUGCCGGGAGGUGCACCUCGACCAACAACAGACAGAUGAGCGUGUCCAAUGAAGUUCAGACCCGAGUGAGAUCCUCGUACAACAACCGAUACGAUGGAUCUUCGAGCAGUUAUACGGAGAUGUUGAAGGAACAAGACUACGUGGACAGGCGGACGGGGCAGAUGGGUCACAAGCAAGAGGCCAAGAAAACCUACACCCACAAGAAUGUUGACAAGGACCUAGGGUUUACUACGGAAGUUAAGAUCGAACAGAAGGUCACCAAAACUGUUUACCCUAACAAGAGUUCAAGCAAGUCCAACAACAACCGCAUCAACUAUUAUUAGAUCUUUUUUGUUUUGGUUGAGAGUGGGAUUUGAACCCAAAACUAUUACUAGUUCUUUUAAUUUAUGUGUUUAUUUUGGAUUUCCUUAGGGUUUUUUUUAUUUAUAUUUGUGGUCGUUGAUUUGUUAUAAAUCUAUUUCAUUAUUUUCAUCUGGGUAAUGAAUUUUGUUAUCUGUUUAUAAUUUUAGGGUUUAGGGCACUAAACCCUAUGGUAUUUGGUUUGUUAUGCUACAUAGUUUAUAAUAUGGUUUUUUCCAUUAAGUAUAAUUAUAUGCAUGUGACAGGAAAAAUUAGGAUCGAGUGAGGUGGGAGAAAUUGUGGAAGAAUUUUGUUUUAUUUUGAUAUUCUUUAAUAGUGUAAAAAUUAUUAAGUACAACGAGAGAUAUGAUGAAUUUAUUUGUGUCUCGAUAAAAUCUUCUUGAAAAUUUCGAUCAGAUAAAAAAGAAAGGAGCGUUUCAUAUGUAAUUAUUAAUUUAUUGAAAGUUAUAACGAAAUUUCCAAAAAUAAGUUGACAAGCCAUUUCUAUUAAACUUCUCGCUUCUAAAAUUUGGGUCAAAGACCACAGAUGCAUCUAGCUAAUCAUCUCAAUGCCUACGAUCCCUUGUGAAUAAGGAGUGGUUUGGGAGUGAGGUGCUUAAAAAAAAAACAUCCAUGAAAAAAAGCUGUGAGGGUUUUAGGUGUUUGGUAAACUAAAAACAAAAUGGCUUAUUUUGGAAGCUGCUGUGAGAAUAAGUUGAAAUUAAAGGAAAAAGCUGAAGCUGCUAUUUGCAGCUUUGGAAAACUGGCUUUUUUUUUUCAAAGCACACGGAGCUACAGUGUUCCUUUAAGGAAAAGACCCACUCUCAAGCUGCUUUUUUUUUUUUUCCAAAAGCACUUUUACAAAAAAGUUUACCAAACACUCUGCUGAUUUAUUUCACAGCCGCUUAUUCUCACAGCAUAGCCGCUUAUUCUCACAAUAAUCUUUUUUCAAAGCACAGAUACCAAACCAGCCAUAAAGACAAUGGCUACAGUGAGCCACAAAUGAGUGAACUAUGGCCACAAAGCAUGAUGCUAUUGGUGUAAACCGCAGCUAAGUAUAGACUAGCAAAAUAAAUGGUAUGUGUUUAUUUAUUUUCCAACAACAUAUGCAGCUAUAUCAACACUUGUACCAGGUCCCAACCGCACAGAUGGACAGUAAAUGUGGCUUCUACCAUGGAAACCAAUGGCUAGUGACCCUAAUUUUUAGUAGUGUCUUGAAAGAAAAUGCUAACUGUUUGUAUCUUUGUGUUGUAAAUAAUUGUAUGUCCACAUGUGAAUAGUAAUGAAUAAGGCAUAAUUUGUUAUGUUAUGUCACGGGAAGUUGUUUUCAUUCAUUGUAAACCUUCUAUAAAUAGAUCACCACAUAGGUGAUCAAGACACUACCAGAGAAAAACAACUGAUAAUAAUAAUAUUCCUCACUUCCUCUGCAAUCAUUUUGUGUUGGUAUAAUAUUUUGCAAUUGCUUUGCUCCUGUCCCUAGCAAAGGUUAUCUCUCUAACUUUUGCCUAUUUAUAACACGUUAUCAGCACGGCUCUAACCAUUUCUCAUUUCCCUUCGCCGAAAGAAAAAAAAAAUGUCUCCUCUAAGGAUUUUACUAUUCUUCUUCUUCCUCUGCCUCAACUGCUGGAUAUACCCUAGCAAAGAACUGUUUGCACCAUGCCUGCUUUUAAUUCUUAACAUAACAGUUACUUAUAUCUUUGAUUUCUUGUUUGGUGUAGCUCUUGACUACUAACCCAGUGUUUAUUUAUGCAAUCCAAGAUGGUGCGGUAUCAUCGCCUAUCUUGAACUGCAAAUCUAAUUUCAAUGCAAAUUUUAGGUGAAGUAGUAUAAUCGCCCACCCUACCCUGCUUAUUUAAAUUUGCCUGCUAUUUAAUUUUAUUGCAAUUUUUGGUGGUGUGGAAUAAUCACACACCCUGCUCUACAUAUUUAAUUUUUCUGCUGCUUGAGUGGUGCGGAAUAAUCGGUCAUCCUAUGUUAUUUAAAUGAGAAUGGUGCGGUACAAUCGUCUUCCUCAUUUAUCAUGUAAAUCUCGAGCCUGAACUUUCGAGUGCUUAUCAUUUUAGCCUAAAGAUCAAAAUGAAAAAUUUGUAAGGACCAGAAGUUCUAACAAUAUAUUCCUUCAGAAUACAUAUUAUUGCAAGUACUUACACACCUCAUUUUUCUUUCAAAAAAGAAAAUGACGAACUUGGCAAAGCUUGAUUUUGUUGCCCUGGAUAUUACUAGAAAAAACUACCUUACUUGGGUAAUGGAUGCCAAGAUCCAUCUGGAGGCAAGAAAUCUUAGGGAAACCAUCAAGAAGGAUAACAGUGCAUCCUCUCAAGAUCGGGAGAAGGCCAUGACCUUUAUCCGUCGCCACCUGGAUGAGAAACUGAAGACCGAGUACCUCACAGUUGAAGAUCCAUUAACCUUCUGGAAGGCACUGAAAAAUAGAUAUAAUCACCAGAAAACGGUGAUUCUUCCAAAAGCUCGUUAUGAGUGGGCUCACCUAAGAAUCUAGGAUUUCAAGAUGGUGGCUGAAUACAAUUCUGCAAUGUUCAGAAUUAGUUCCCAGUUGAAGCUCUGUGGAGAAACAAUAACUGAGGGCGAUAUGCUGGAAAAGACUUUCAGCACCUUUCAUACCUCCAACGUGCUCCUACAGCAGCAGUAUAGAGAAAUAGGCUUUACCAAUUACAACCAGCUGAUAUCUGUACUUCUUGUAGUCGAGCAAAACAAUAAGCUUCAGAUGAAGAAUCAUCAGUCCCGACCUACUGGAUCAUCACCAUUCCCAGAAAUGAAUGUUGCUUCCUUUGAAGGAAAUACCACAUCCUCUUGUGGAAAUAAUUACAAACGAGGAAAUGGCCACAAGCGAGGCCGGUGGAAUGGGAAGGACAAGAACCAUGGUGUUCAGUUUCACAACCAGGUUCCAAGGUAUAAUCCAGGCCCGAGCUUUAAGAAUGCAAAUCACCAGAAAGACAAAGCUCAUAUGAACACUCCUAGAAAUCCUGAAGGAGUUUGCCAUAGGUGUGGUGGCAAUGGGCAUCGGGCGUGUACCCGUCGUACCCCAAAACAUCUAGUCGAUCUGUAUCAAGCCUCCCUUAAAGAGAAGGGUGUCGAGACCAAUUUCCUCGACCAAGCUCAACCAAUGGAAAUAUUUGAUCCAAUGUCCAAUUUAUCAAGACAAUUAAACACAACCCACCUGGAUGUUUCAGACUUUAUUAUUGAAAGAGGGAAAGAAGUUUAUGGGUCUGAUUGAAUCAUUUGUGUUUAAUGUACUCUUGUUAUUUGUACUUGUGGUUUAAUGCUCACAUUUUCAAUUCAAUCAUAGUAUUCCAGUAUGAAUAAACUGCUUUUUAACUGUAAUUUCUUUAGUCAGAGAACAUGGAUAAAAAUUAUGGUUAUUCAUAAAACAAGAGCAAUGAUGGAGACUUUUAUCUUGCAGACAGCGCAACCAUGCAUUCAAUACUUCGAGAUCGAAAGUAUUUCUCUAACUUGGUAUUUGCAAAAGUAAAGGUAACAACAAUAUCAAGACAAUCAGAUGUAAUUGAAGGCUUAGGAAAAGCCCAGAUUAUGUUACCAAUUGAAACAAUAUUGUCUAUACAAAAUUCGUUGCACGCCACUCGGUCUACUCGAAAUUUGUUGAGCUUUAAAGACACACGUCUAAAUGGAUACCACAUUGAAACAAAAAGUGCAGAAAAUGUAGAAUAUUUCUGCAUUACCUCCAAUGAUACCCAGAAGCGUAUAUUGGAGAAGUUACGUAGUUUAUCGAGUGGAUUGUAUUAUACAUACAUAAAGACAAUUGAGGCAUAUACUAUCAUAAACCAAAAGUUCAUUGAUUCAAAAGUUUACAUGUUUUGGCAUGAUCGUCUGGGUCAUCCAGGAUCUACCAUGAUGCAUAGAAUCAUUACUAACUCUAAUGGACAUCCAUUAUUAAGCAGACACAUUGAUGUCUCAAAUGAUAACCCUUGCAAGGCUUGUUCCCAAGGGAAGUUAGUAAUUAAACCAUCACAACUAAAGGUUGAUGCUGAAUCCCCAUCAUUUUUGCAAAGAAUUCAAGGGGAUAUUUGUAGACUUACUCAACCACCUUGUGGACCAUUUCGAUAUUUUAUAGUUUUGGUUGAUGCAUCUACCCGAUGGUCACAUGUUUGCCUAUUGUCUACUCGAAAUGUAGCUUUUGCAAGGCUUCUUGCUCAAAUAAUUAAGUUGCGAGCACUAUUCCCAAAUCACCCCAUUAAGUCAAUCCGACUUGAUAACGCUGGUGAAUUUAGAUCUCAAACCUUUGAUGAUUACUGCAUGUCGCUGGGCAUUGAUGUUGAACAUCAUGUUCCUCAUGUCCAUACUCAAAAUGGUUUAGCAGAGGCAUUUAUCAAGCAGCUUCAAUUAAUAGCUCGCACUCUACUCAUAAAAACAAAAUUGCCAGUCUCUGCAUGGGGACAUGCCAUCUUAUAUGCUGCAUCAUUGGUUCGACUAAGACUCAUAGCCAACCACCAAUACUCAUCAAUACAACUCGUGUUUGGGCAUUAGCCAAACAUUUCACACUUUGAGUUUUUGGUUGUGCGAUUUAUGUGCCUAGUGCACUACCACAACGCACUAAAAUGGGACCUCAGAGCAAAUUGGGAAUUUAUGUGGGUUUUGAUUCACCAUAUAUCAUUAGAUAUUUGGAACCCUUGACAGGUGAUAUAUUUACAGCUUGUUUUGCGGAUUGUCAUUUUGAUGAGAUAGUCUUCCCGUCGUUAGGGGGAGAAAAGACCGGUCUAGAAGAACGGCAAGAGCUAACAUGGAUUGUUCCCACCUUAUCUCAUUUUGAUCCACGAAGCACUCAAUGUGAAAAUGAAGUGAAAAUGAUCGUUCAUCUUCAAGGUAUUGCUAAUCAAAUGCUAGAUGCAUUUAAUGAUGCUUCGAAAGUGACAAAGUCACAUAUACCAGCUGCAAAUGCACCUGCAAGAAUUGAUGUCCCUAUUGGACAAAAUAAAAUGGCAGCGAAUGAUUCAUCUAGUACACGUCUGAAGUGUGGUAGACCCUAGGUUCAAAAGAUUCAGCCCCUCGAAAGAGAAAGAUGAGGGCAUAAUUGAACCCAAAUGAAAUCAUUCAGGAAAAGAAAAUGAAUGAUAAAUUCACAAUUCAUGAUUCUGUACUUCCAGAAAAAGAAAAUGUCCUUGAUGAGACACAUGUCCCUGAAGAGACAGAAGUACAUGAAAGCAAAGAAAUAUCCAUAAAUUAUGCAUGUACUAAUGAAUUGUGGCAUCAAAAUGAAAUAAUCAUCGACGACAUGUUUGCAUUUGCAAUAGCCACUGAAAUUAUAUUAAACGAUGACAUUGAGCCCCGCUCUGUUGAUGAAUGCAAAUAGAGACAUGAUUGGCCUAAGUAGAAAGAUGCAAUCUAAGCAGAAUUAAAUUCCUUGGAAAGGCGAAGUGUUUUUGGAUCAGUAGUCCAAACCCCGCCUGGUGUGAACCCCGUAGGUUACAAAUGGAUAUUCAUAAGGAAACGCAACGAGAAAAACAAGAUUGCAAGAUAUAAAGCACGACUCGUUGCACAAGGUUUUUCACAAAGACUUGGAAUUGAUUAUGAAGAGACAUACGCUCCUGGAAUGGACGCAAUUACAUUCCGUUACUUAAUAAGUUUGGUGGUUUCAGAAAAACUUGACAUGCGACUUAUGGAUGUCAUCACCGCGUAUCUAUAUGGAGAAUUAGAUACUGACAUAUAUAUGAAAGUCCCAGAAUGACUUAAGUUGCCUGAAGCAACUAACAUACCACGAGGUAAGGCGAUCACUAUAUGGGCUGAAAUAAUCUGGACGAAUGUGGUAUAAUCGUCUGAGUGAGUAUUUGAUCAAAGAAGGAUAUAUCAACAAUGUCAUAUGCCCUUAUGUGUUCAUUAAGAAAUCAAAUACUGGAUUUGCUAUAGUGGCAGUAUGUCAAUGAUAUGAACCUAGUUGGAACUCCUGAAAAGCUCAAUAAAACUGCUGAAUAUCUAAAAAGCGAAUUUAAAAUGAAACACCUUGGGAAAACAAAAUAUUGUCUCGGCCUACAGAUCAAGCAUUGUGCUAAGGGAAUUUUGGUCCAUCAAUCAGCUUACAUUGAAAAAAUACUGAAGCGAUUUGGCAUGGAUAAUAAGGCUUAUCCACUUAGCACCCCAAUGGUUGUUCGUUCUUUAGACAUUAAGAAAGAUCAAUUCCAUCCAAAAGAAGAUGAUGAACUGGUCCUUGGUCCAAAAGUACCAUAUUUGAGCGCAAUAAGUGCUUUAUUGUAUUUAGCACAAUGUACUAGACCAGAUAUAGCUUUUUCAGUUAACUUGUUAGCCAGGUAUAGCUCUGCUCCAACAAUUCGUCAUUGGAAGGGAGUCAAAGAUGUUCUAUGAUACCUUCGUGGGACAACAGACAUAGGUCUCUUCUACUUAGACAAGUCCACAAAUGACCAGAUCCUUGUUGGAUAUGCAGAUGCUGGUUUCCUCUCUGAUCCGCACAAAGCCCGCUCACAAACUGGAUAUGUGUUCACUAAUGGAGAUACUGCAAUUUCAUAGCGCUCAACAAAGCAAACAUUAGUCGCUACAUCUUCCAAUCACUCGGAAAUAAUUGCUUUGUAUGAAGCAAGUCGUGAAAGUUCUUGAUUAAUAUCAAUGAUCCAUCACAUUCGGAAUUCAUGUGGUAUACCUUCAAAGACAGACACUCCAACUGUUAUCCAUGAAGAUAAUGCAGCAUGUGUUGCCCAAAUGAAUGAAGGAUUCAUCAAGGGGGAUAAGACUAAACACAUAUCUCCAAGGUUUUUCAGUGCACAUGAGCUUCAGAAGGCUAAAGUUAUUGAAGUUAAACAAAUUCAUUCCAAUGAAAAUCUGGUAGACUUGUUCACCAAAUAUUUACCAAAGUGCACAUUUCAAAAGUUAGUGCAGGGAAUCGGAUUACAUCGGCUUACCAAUUUGAAGAAUGCGGAAUCAAGGGGAGAUACAAUUCAGAGGGAGCAUCUAUGACACACGCAUGUUGUACUCUUUUUCCUUCGAUUAGGAUUUUUUCCUACUGGGUUUUUCCUAUCAAGGUUUUAACGAGGCAAUGUAAGCACACUUAACACCAUAUCAACAAUACACCAUAUCAACAAUCCGAGUAAAGUUGUACUCUUUUUCCUUCGCUAUGGUUUUUUCCCACUGGGUUUUUCCAAGCAAGGUUUUAACGAGGCAACUGGUGUUGGUAUGUGGGCAUCCAAGGGGGAGUGUUGUAAAUAGUGGGAUUGUAUGCCUACAUGUGAAUAGUAAUGAAUAAGGCAUAAUUUGUUGUGUUAUGUCACGGGAAGUAAUUUUCAUUCAUUGUAAACCUUCUAUAAAUAGAUCACCACAUAGGUGAUCAAGACACUACGAGAGAAAAACAACUGAUAAUAAUAAUAUUCCUCACUUCCUCUGCAAUCAUUUUGUGUUGGUAUAAUAUUUUGCAAUUGCUUCGCUCCUGACCCUAAUAAAGGUUAUCUCUCUAACUUUUGCCUAUUUAUAACACUUUGCUUAUUAUUCCAAAUUUUCUCACUUUUAUGCUUUUGGGGGGGGGGGGGGUGACCAUCAUCCCAAGAAUGUGUAAGGAACCAUAAUUUUCGAAUUGUUUGCCGAAAAACAUCAUAAAAAUUUGAAAAACUAAUGUAGAUAUUAAAUAAAGUAAGGCUGGGCAAUUAAAAAAAACCCGACUAAACCACAACGACGGUUUGAUUUGGUUUUUUUUUUCGAUGAAUAAAAAGAACUACACCGACUGAAGUUGGUUUUGACGAGCAGUUCUUAUAAUUUUUGGAUAUCGGUUAACUGUACGACCCGUUUGUUUGGCUUUAUUUGUUUUAAUCAGAAUAGAAACCUUAGUGGUGAUGGUGGUGUUUUGUCUGUAUAUGUAGAAUGACUUUUAUGUUGCCUACUUUGCAUCAACAUCACCUUUUAUUUACUUUCUUGCCUUUUUGCCUUUUUGUUCUUGUUCUUGUUCUUGUGCCCUCGUUUUGGGUGUUUAAUGGAUAUCACUUUUUGGCUGUUUGUUCUCGUGGCCUCUUUCUCUCACUUUCAAUCUUAGUUCUCAAACUUAGCACAACAAACUCCCAGCCGCAUCCUCCAUUCUUCCUCCACCACCAUCGUGAAUCUCUCCAGAUGAUAGCUCUUCUUCCCCACUCCGGCGUCAUCUGCAAACUGAAAACCGAUCCAAACCAACCAGCCAACAUAAUCAGUUUUAGACUCAGCUUGAUCGGUUUCGAUUUGCAAUUUUGGCUCAACCGACCCCAACACAACCGCGCCCACCCCUAAAAUAAAGAGUACUUUUUUUAAACAACCAUAUACUUUGAGAGUAGAGGGAAUAAAUUAAUAUCAAACCCAUUAUCAACCAAAUUCGAACUUAAGAGCUCUUAUACGAGCCCCUAUUUAUUAGAACAAAAGUAUAUACCUAUUGACUUCAGUUUAUUAGGACAAUCCAAGAAGAUAUUAUUAAUUUUAUUUUUGCCGCUAGAAUUGGAAAGCAAAAUGGAGUUCUUUGCAGCUAAGAACAAAAUCAAUUAAGCUACGUAUUAGGGAGAAAAUAAGUACAAGUAUUAUAGUCAAUUCCUAGUUUUAAUUUGGACUUUUCAAAAUAUUAUUUUUGGUUGGAGUCAUGUACGUAAGUUUCACUGUCACAAGACAUCCCCUAUCCAAUAGUAUGCAUUGCUACGAAUUUUUUUACACGCAACAAUGUAUUAUUGGACUUGGAUGCCACGUGUGUCGGUAAACACACACGUCAAAGGCAUAACCAGCCACGUGUGGCGUUACUCGACAUGUUAAGAAAAAUGAACAAGGACCAACACCCUCUCAUUUUUCCCCAUUCCUUUUUACAUUAUUUUCCUUCAUAUCCAGUCGUCUGAAUUCAUUAAAAUCAAACAAAAUAAACAUGAGUCCAAGACUGAACAUCUCAAUUAGUCACCCAUAACUAGACGAGACUCAAAGGAUAAUAUGGAAAAGCAAGAUUAAUCCUGCGAUCAAUCAAUCAUGCUUCACAGUUUUAUGUCAGCUUAGGACACUAUUAUUCAGACGAGGAAGAUGACUUGAGUCGCUCGACUUUAUUGCAUACCAGACUCGACUCAAUCUUCCAUUUGGUGCGACACACGACUUGUCAUCUAUUUAACCAUCUUACAUCCAUAAUGUACCACAAGUAACCCAUGUAAACUCAGAGGUCAAGUCCGUAUAUUAUCCAUGCGUCCCCAAACUCAAGAGGAGUUCAUAGAGCAGAGCAAUGAGAAUUAUCGCACCACCCAACCAGAUUACUGCGAGAUAAAAAAGUCAUCGAAGCCACUUGUCUGUCUCAUGAUCUGCAAGCACACAGUACAAGAAUUAAG